rnacentral:rRNA from 1 species
CAGCCGUAAACAAUGUGCGUUAGGUGUGUCGGUAACCACGCGUUACUGAUGCGCCGAAGAGAAAUCGUGAAACGCACCACCUGGGAAGUACGGUCGCAAGGCUGAAACUUAAAGGAAUUGGCGGGGGAGCACCACAACAGGUGGAGCCUGCGGGUUUAAUUUGGAUUCAACGCCGGACAUCUCACCGGAUAAGACAGCUGAAUGAUUGUCAAUCUGAAGGUUUUACAUGACUAGCUGAGAGGUGGUGCAUGGCGUCAGUGACU